GGCGGAUUUGGACGGACCCUACGAACCAGGAGUCAGGCGAGCCGAUCUGGGGCUGCAGCGCGCCUGGUAACUCGGCUGCACCUCCACACAGGAUGUUCCGCUGGGAGCGCUCCAUUCCCCUGCGAGGCUCGGCCGCCGCCCUGUGCAACAACCUCAGUGUGCUGCAGCUGCCGGCUCGCAACCUCACGUAUUUUGGCGUGGUUCAUGGACCAAGCGCCCAGCUUCUCAGCGCUGCUCCUGAGGGUGUGCCCUUGGCCCAGCGCCAGCUCCAUGCUAAGGAGGGUGCUGGAGUGAGCCCCCCACUUAUCACUCAGGUCCACUGGUGUGUCCUCCCCUUCCGAGUGCUGCUGGUACUCACCUCACAUCGAGGAAUACAGAUGUACGAGUCCAAUGGCUACACCAUGGUCUACUGGCAUGCACUGGACUCUGGAGAUGCCUCCCCAGUACAGGCUGUGUUUGCCCGGGGAAUUGCUGCCAGUGGCCACUUCAUCUGUGUGGGAACGUGGUCAGGCCGGGUGCUGGUGUUUGACAUCCCAGCAAAGGGUCCCAACAUUGUACUGAGUGAGGAGCUGGCUGGGCACCAGAUGCCAAUCACAGACAUUGCCACCGAGCCUGCCCAGGGACAGGACUGUGUGGCUGACAUGGUGACGGCAGAUGACUCAGGCUUGCUGUGUGUCUGGCGGUCAGGGCCAGAAUUCACAUUAUUGACCCGCAUUCCAGGAUUUGGAGUCCCGUGCCCCUCUGUGCAGCUGUGGCAGGGGAUCAUAGCAGCAGGCUAUGGGAAUGGACAAGUGCAUCUGUAUGAGGCCACUACAGGGAAUCUACAUGUCCAGAUCAAUGCCCAUGCCCGGGCCAUCUGCGCCCUGGACCUGGCUUCUGAGGUGGGCAAGCUACUCUCUGCAGGUGAGGAUACCUUUGUGCAUAUCUGGAAGCUCAGCAGAAGCCCAGAGAGUGGCUACAUUGAGGUAUGUGUCAUGGGGUGGGUGGACUUGGGGGGCCCAAGCAUGGGGCAGCAGGCCCUGACCAGCCCUCUGCUCCCCCAGGUGGAACACUGUCAUGGUGAGUGUGUCUCCGACACCCAGCUGUGUGGUGCUCGAUUUUGUGAUUCCUCAGGCAGCUCCUUU
rnacentral:sRNA from 1 species